rnacentral:rRNA from 1 species
UACGUAGGGUGCGAGCGUUAAUCGGAAUUACGGGGCGUAAAGCGUGCGCAGGCGGGCUUUUAAGCCAGGCGGGAAAUCCCCGGGCUUAACCUGGGAAUGGCGUUUGGGACUGGGAGUCUGGAGUGCGGCAGAGGAGACUGGAAUUCCUGGUGUAGCAGUGAAAUGCGUAGAUAUCAGGAGGAACACCGAUGGCGAAGGCAGGUCUCUGGGCUGACACUGACGCUCAUGCACGAAAGCGUGGGGAGCAAACAGG